rnacentral:rRNA from 1 species
AUUGAACGCUGGCGGCAGGCCUAACACAUGCAGGUCGAGCGGCAGCGACUUAACUGAACCUUCGGGGAACGUUAAGGGCGGCGAGCGGCGGACGGGUGAGUAAUGCCUGGGAAUAUGCCCUGAUGUGGGGGAUAACUAUUGGAAACGAUAGCUAAUACCGCAUAAUCUCUUCGGAGCAAAGAGGGGGACCUUCGGGCCUCUCGCGUCAGGAUUAGCCCAGGUGGGAUUAGCUUGUUGGUGAGGUAAUGGCUCACCAAGGCAACGAUCCCUAGCUGGUCUGAGAGGAUGAUCAGCCACACUGGAACUGAGACACGGUCCAGACUCCUACGGGAGGCAGCAGUGGGGAAUAUUGCACGAUGGGGGAAACCCUGAUGCAGCCAUGCCGCGUGUGUGAAGAAGGCCUUCGGGUUGUAAAGCACUUUCAGUAGGGAGGAAGGUAGUGUAGUUAACACCUGCAUUAUUUGACGUUACCUACAGAAGAAGCACCGGCUAACUCCGUGCCAGCAGCCGCGGUAAUACGGAGGGUGCGAGCGUUAAUCGGAAUUACUGGGCGUAAAGCGCAUGCAGGCGGCCUGUUAAGUCAGAUGUGAAAGCCCGGGGCUUAACCUCGGAAUUGCAUUUGAAACUGGCAGGCUAGAGUCUUGUAGAGGGGGGUAGAAUUUCAGGUGUAGCGGUGAAAUGCGUAGAGAUCUGAAGGAAUACCAGUGGCGAAGGCGGCCCCCUGGACAAAGACUGACGCUCAGAUGCGAAAGCGUGGGGAGCAAACAGG